UACCAGCACCCCGAGUGGUCGGGACGAUUAUUGGGCCUAAAGCAUCCGUAGCCGGUUCUGCAAGUCCCCCGUUAAAUCCAGCUGCUCAACAGAUGGGCCGCGGAGGAUACUACAGAGCUAGGAGGCAGGAGAGGCAAGCGGUACUCAGUGGGUAGGGGUAAAAUCCGUUGAUCCGAUUGAAGACCACCAGUGGCGAAGGCGGCUUGC
rnacentral:rRNA from 1 species